ACGCUUGGAAGGAGGGAAGGAAUUGUCAGGCUUUUAAUUAGAGGCUGCAGAGGAUUUGAUGGCACCCGGUCUUACUCCCCGAUUUUCUUCCAGCAAGAAGUCAGUCCCGAUGGGACGAACACAGUCAUGUUCAUCUGGAGUCACUCCUUUUCCUUUGAGAGUAAGCUGGGCAAAGGUAGACAGCACAGGACAGGACACUGAUUGAGAGCCUCUGAAAAUUAUCUGCACUCAUAAGUCGUGCCAUUAAUAGGAGGAGAAUCACACACUGGAGACCACAAGAUGGAGAUUGCCAGACCUGCAGUAGAAAGAAAAAUCACACCUCCCUGGCACAGGAUCCCUUUCUGUCUGUUGACAGUAAGAGGUGGACUCUCCAGACUCUCCACUCAAGGUUCUAGGCGAGUCCAGAAUACCCAAGAUACAAGAUACAAUCUGCAAAAC